UUUAGUAGUGGAAGAGAGAGAAAAGAGAUAGUACAUGUAGUUGGAAAGUAAUUUGUUGCUGCCAAUGAUGGAGAGGACGAGGAGAAGCGAGCGGGUGGAGGGUUUUUAUAGGCGACUUGCCAGCCCCAAUGUCGACCUUCGCCAGUGUGCGAAGUCGUCACCACGACCAGCUGCGCCGGAGGAGUAUGCCGUGGACUUUGUUGUCGGCUGCCGGGAUCGCAAUGUAAGUUGCACAUUAUGCAGCCAAGUAGUCUAUCCACGACACGUAGCAGCAAGUGCAGCUCAUCCAAUACGACAUUUGUCAAGUCAAUGGUUACCGAAACAUCCUCAGCGGUUGCUGUGCACGUAACAUCCAUUGAUGUUAGGCGGAAGCCGAACGAUUCCAAGAACCAUAGUGCUUUUUGAGCUUUAUUCUGUAUUUCUUUCUUUUUUCUCUGUUGCUGCCUUAUUCUCAGUUCAUGCACCGGCUUUCCCGUGUUGGCGAAUUCCGUGAAUUCUUUCGCCUUUUCUGUUAAUUGUGUUUUUUGUUCGGCGUGUUUCCUCUCCUCAAUUAUCUGUGCAUAUAAUAUUUUUAGCUCCUGCUCUUUCGCUUCAUUUAGUUUCUUUGCUGUGUCCAGUUGCAUCGUAAGAGAUUCCAUCUUAUCCCUCGCCGAAAUGAUCUCUUCCGCACAGAUAACCAUAUUGCAUUCUCCAUCAUAUAUUCGUUUUCUCUUAUCUCCACCGGUACUCUUGCGAUACUUUGCAAACACCUGUACAUGUACACAUGCCCGCAUGCACAUACGGACAAAAGAGCCUUAUGAAUAGAUGGCAUGCAAAUCACCAUUAUUGUUUCAUUCACUGUGGCCCGCUUCUC